rnacentral:misc_RNA from 1 species
GAUGAAGAACGCAGCGAAAUGCGAUAAGUAAUGUGAAUUGCAGAAUUCAGUGAAUCAUCGAAUCUUUGAAGGCACAUUGCGCCCGUCAGUAUUCUGGCGGGCAUGCCUGUUCGAGCGUCAUUACGCCCCUCAAGUCCCCUGUGGACUUGGUGUUGGGGAUCGGCGAGGCUGGUUUUCCAGCACAGCCGUCCCUUAAAUUAAUUGGCGGUCUCGCCGUGGCCCUCCUCUGCGCAGUAGUAAAACACUCGCAACAGGAGCCCGGCGCGGUCCACUGCCGUAAAACCCCCCAACUUUUUAUAGUUGACCUCGAAUCAGGUAGGACUACCCGCUGAACUUAAGCAUAUCAAUAAGCGGAGGA